GAAGGGCUUGCUUCAGAGUGAUCAAGAGCUGUUCUCGACACCUGGUGCCGAUACCAUCCCCAUUGUCAACAGGUUCAGCAGUGACCAGAAAGUUUUCUUUGACGCCUUUGAGGCUUCAAUGAUUAAGAUGGGUAACAUUGGUGUGCUCACUGGGAAGAAAGGAGAAAUCAGAAAACAUUGUAACUUUGUUAACAAGAAAUCUGUUGAAGUUGAUAUUGCUAGUGUGGCCUCAGAAGAAUCAUCAACAGAGGGUAUGGUUACCUCAAUCUAAAUGGAUUAGGAUGAAUAGUUUUCACUUAAAAUGGUGUGAUUAGAGACCACAAAUAAAGAAGCUAUAGGCACAUUCAUGC
rnacentral:lncRNA from 1 species